rnacentral:rRNA from 1 species
AUUGAACGCUGGCGGCAGGCUUAACACAUGCAAGUCGAGCGGGGGAAGGUAGCUUGCUACCGGACCUAGCGGCGGACGGGUGAGUAAUGCUUAGGAAUCUGCCUAUUAGUGGGGGACAACAUCUCGAAAGGGAUGCUAAUACCAUACGUCCUACGGGAGAAAGCAGGGGAUCUUCGGACCUUGCGCUAUAGAUGAGCCUAAGUCGGAUUAGCUAGUUGGUGGGGUAAAGGCCUACCAAGGCGACGAUCUGUAGCGGGUCUGAGAGGAUGAUCCGCCACACUGGGACUGAGACACGGCCCAGACUCCUACGGGAGGCAGCAGUGGGGAAUAUUGGACAAUGGGGGGAACCCUGAUCCAGCCAUGCCGCGUGUGUGAAGAAGGCCUUAUGGUUGUAAAGCACUUUAAGCGAGGAGGAGGCUACUUUAGUUAAUACCGAGAGAUAGUGGACGUUACUCGCAGAAUAAGCACCGGCUAACUCUGUG